rnacentral:rRNA from 1 species
CCGGAAUUUAGUUGGGUUUUAAAGGGUCCGUAGGCGGAUUGAUUAAGUCAGGGUGAAAGUUUUGCAGCUUCAACUGUAAAAUUGCCUUUGAUACUGGUUAUCUUGAGUUGUAUUGAAGUAGGCGGAAUAUGUAGUGUAGCGGUGAAAUGCAUAGAUAUUACAUAGAACACCAAUUGCGAAGGCAGCUUACUAAGUACUAACUGACGCUGAUGGACGAAAGCGUGGGUAGCGAACAGGAUUAGAUACCCUGGUAGUCCACGCCGUAAACGAUGGAUACUAGCUGUUCGGGGCCUUGAGCUCUGAGCGGCUAAGCGAAAGUGAUAAGUAUCCCACCUGGGGAGUACGUUCGCAAGAAUGAAACUCAAAGGAAUUGACGGGGGCCCGCACAAGCGGUGGAGCAUGUGGUUUAAUUCGGAUGAUACGCGAGGAACCUUACCAGGGCUUAAAUGUAAGAUGCAUUAGUUAGAGAUAGCUAUUUCUUCGGACUUCUUACAAGGUGCUGCAUGGUU